UACGAGGGGAGCAAGCGUUGUUCGGAUUUACUGGGCGUAAAGGGCGCGUAGGCGGCGUGACAAGUCACUUGUGAAAUCUCCGGGCUUAACCCGGAACGGUCAAGUGAAACUGUCGUGCUAGAGUACAGAAGGGGCAACUGGAAUUCUCGGUGUAGCGGUGAAAUGCGUAGAUAUCGAGAGGAACACCUGCGGCGAAGGCGGGUUGCUGGGCUGACACUGACGCUGAUGCGCGAAAGCCAGGGGAGCGAACGGG
rnacentral:rRNA from 1 species